rnacentral:lncRNA from 1 species
UAGACAUAUACUCAACCAGUAAUGACCUAUGUUUUUUAAAUCAUAAUUGAGGACUAAAAUUAUUUCAGUGUAGAUAAGGGAAUGCCUGUUUAAAAUGAAAACAUGACAGCCAGACAAGCCAGUGUAUGAAUCAAAUGUAUUUGCAUAUGAAUGGAGUGGAAAUUAGCUCACUUUGUGAUCUGUAAGGUAAGUAACAUUAAUGUGUGUGUUGGGGCAUUGAAAUGAUAUUAUGUUUACACUGAUGCCUGUUUAUUCAUAAAAAGCAGAAGAUGAUAAAUAACAUUAAUCGGAAUGGUUAGCCUAUGCAAAUUAUUAGGAAUACAUUUAGCCUAAUUGGUAAUAAAUAUGACGUGGAGGCAAAUCAGGAUCCUAUUCAGGCUUUUGUUUGUCAAUUCCAGAUUAAAUAUAGGUCUUCACGUGUAUCAAAUCUGUAUGCAAUUGUGGGCUAAAUCAAUGACAAACAGCUUAUAUAUUCAUCAUGAUCUGUGAUCAAAACAGGCUGGGGUGUUUUCGGUUCCGUUUAGUGUAAGAAUAUGAGUAAGAACGCAACUGCACUGAAAUGAAUAGCCUGAUUCAAUGGAAUCUCCUGAAUAAUACAUGUUUUAAUUUGUUAAACUGUUUGGUCGAUGCAUAGACCCACACCAAUUCUAACUUUUUGGUAUUUUGCAUUAGGCAUAGCUCUACAUUGCAAAGCAUUUAAUAAACCAACCACAUUUUCCUGUGAUGUUUAGGCUGCGCAAGAACUUUGAUAGGCUAGUAGACUAUGCUGAAAUAAUUGUGGAGUUAAUCAUUGUUAUAGCCUUGUUCGCUUUAUAUAAUCUGGACUGUUGUUUUUCAUAAAGCUAAGCAAACAAGUGGUAGCAUAUGCUUUUUGCACAUAUCUAUAACAAGGCCUAUAUCCUCACAUACCCCCUCAAUUUGAACCCUGCUUUAAACCAUAAAACAUCUCCACAGAAAUGUAUAGAUGAAGGGUUGCAUGGUUGUGUCUGUUAAUCCGGUAAACUGGGAAGUGGGGGGGAAACGAGGUCAAAUCAUGACAUCAUUGAUUUUCAGGUCAGAGAUUCCGAGUUGGACGACUGUUCAAAACAAAACAAAAAUCCCAGUCUGACCUCGUUUUUUUCAGAGUUCCGGGUUGUCUUGAACGCACUGAAGUCAGAAGUCAGAGAUUUCUGACUUCUGAGUUAUUUUGAAUUCACCACUAGAGACCUAGGCUACCUCAACAAUUGAAAUGUGUCUCCCGCAUUUAACCCAACCCCUCUGAAUCAGAGCAUUGCGUGAGGCUGCCUUAAUCAAAAUACACGUAUUCAGUCGCCCAGAGAACCAGCGUUGGGAUUUGAUUUAGCAACCUUUCAGUUACUUGCCCAAUGCUCUAACCACUAGGCUACCAAGAAGCCCUUGAUUUUCUGCUGAUGGAAGAAAUAGGCAUAUCUACACAGUAAUGGUGCCUGCGAUAUCAACUAGCCUAAUAAUUUUUGUAUUGAGGAGAUAGGCCUAUUUUAGCUAAAUCAACAAAUGAAAUUGAUGAACUAAACAGACACUUAAACUAACACGUAACGCGUAACACAUGUAGGCAUUUUUAAGGAUUUCAUGGUAAGAUCAUUCAUAAUAUACUUAAAUACAAACUGACACGUGACGUGUCAGUGGCAUGUUACGUGACGUGAACACCACGUGAACACUACGUCUACAUGAUGUGUACAUGUCACAUGACGUGAACGCGUCGGCAGCUUGAUGCCUUAGAAACAAACUUGUCUCCAUUGACAGUCCAUGUUAAUUCAUGCCGUUAUUUUAUGACGCUAGGAAGACGUUAGGUGACUUGGUGAGAGGUAUCAGUAGCUUCACAAGGCUUAAUUCUGGCAUGAAUCACCCCCCAUAAGGAACCACUGUAGUCUGGGCUGGCAGCCUUGCAAGGGUUAACACGUUUAAAUGUCUUACUCACGUCAGCCCGAGAAGGGGGGCACAGUCCUUGGUGGCGGGCCGCGUUGGUGGCACUGUAUUAUCCUCAAAGCAGGCAAAGAACGUGUUUAGUUUGUCUGGAAGCAAGACGUUGGUGUUCGUGACGUGGUUGGUUUUCUUUUUGUAGUCCGUGAUUUCCUGUAGUCCCUGCCACAUCGGUCUUGUGUCUGAGCCGUUGAAUUGUCCCUAUACUGAAGUUUCACUUGUUUGAUUGCCUUGCGGGGGGAAUAACUACACUGUUUGUAUUCGGCCAUAUUCCCAGUCAUCUUUCCAUGCAUCUGAAACUUUACACAAUGCUGCACAGGGUGGGAGUUACCAUUUUUCUCACUCUAUACAGCAGAAAAAUCUAAAUGUGACAACAAACUGACAAUAUCACCCUGCAAAAAUAAUUCUCUGCUGUACUACUACUGUAAGAGACAUUGCCAAACAAACUGAGGAUACGAUUCCAUGUUUGCCGAUUCUGUCCUGGGCUGCCAAUCAUGAAUAACAAAGGGUUGAAACUAGAGACAGGAGUAGCAGUGGUCAUGUCAGUCUGUUGAUAUUAAAUAAAGCAUUACAGGUCAUGUCAAGAGCAUUGUGAUGAAGGAUUGCCAUAGGCUGAAUUGAGAGACUGGGCUAAAAAGUUUAGUCCCAAUGUAGAAGAUUUAUUUUCUUAAAAAUUCUAACUUAACAAAAAAUACUUGAGUCCUUUUAGCUCUUUGUAGAGCAAAGGCACAAAAAUAACAAAAGCAAUAUUUUCUCAAUCCUGACAAACAAUAUAGUACUGCUGACUAACAAAUGCAAUAUGUUCUCCAUCCUGACAAACAGUAUACUACUGCUGACUAACAAAAGCAAUAUGUUCUCCAUCCUGACAAACAGUAUACUACUGCUGACUAACAAAAGCAAUAUGUUCUCAAACCUGACAAUGUACUAAUGCUGACUAAAAAAAACACAAACACAUGUAGCUUACUGGGUUUAAACCAGUGAAGCAUGUUGAAAGAAUAACAAUUUUAACUUUACCUUUCCGUUUGACUUCAAAAUCAUCAUCAAAUCAAAGUUUAUUGGUCACGUACACAGAUUUGCAGGUGUUAUGGCAGGUGCAUGUAAAAUAUUGUGUUACUAGCUCCAACAGUGCAGUAGAAUGUCUCGCAAAUACAAUUCAAAUACACAAUCAUGAAAACAAUCCAAACAACAAAUCAAGAAAUAGCCAUCCUAGUAGAUCAUCAUCAUUCUAGUAGUAAGUUUAUUAGAACAGGGGAGUGUGGUAGUAAGUUUAUUAGAACAGGGGGUGUGGUAGUAAGUUUAUUAGAACAGGGGGUGUGGUAGUAAGUUUAUUAGAACAGGGGAGUGUGGUAGUAAGUUUAUUAAAACAGGGGGGUGUGGUAGUAAGUUUAUCAGUAGAGGGGGUGGGGUAGUAAGUUUAGCAGAACAGGGGGUGUGGUAGUAAGUUUAUCAGUAGAGGGGGUGGGGUAGUAAGUUUAGCAGAACAGGGGGUGUGGUAGUAAGUUUAUCAGUAGAGGGGGUGGGGUAGUAAGUUUAGCAGAACAGGGGGUGUGGUAGUAAGUGUAUCAGUAGAGGGGGGUGGGGUAGUAAGUUUAGCAGAACAGGGGGUGUAGUAGUAAGUUAAUCAGAACAAGGGGUGUGGUAGUAAGUUUAGCAGAACAGGGGGUGUGGUAGUAAGUUUAUCAGUAGAGGGGGGUGGGGUAGUAAGUUUAGCAGAACAGGGGGGUGUGGAAGUAAGUUUAUCAGUAGAGGGGGGUGGGGUAGUAAGUUUAGCAGAACAGGGGGGUGUGGUAGUAAGUUUAUCAGUAGAGGGGGGUGGGGUAGUAAGGCCAAUAGCAGUCCACCAUGUCUUUAGCCUCCUCGUAUGUGGUGAACUCACAGUCGGGGGAAAAUUGUGGCGUUCCUGGCUCACAGAAUCUCAGAUGGUGUCUCAAAUUGUACCUAUCGAAGGUCAACAUCUGAGAGGAACAGAAUUUUUCAUCAUCUUAAGUGAUAGCUAGACUUUUGAUUGCUGAUUGUAAAGUCUUGCUGCUUUGGCAACAUUGUUGUACCUUUAAAAGUUAUACCCACAAAGCAGUUGUCUUAAAAACCUGUCCUGGAGAGAUACAGGGUGUGCAGGGUUUUGUUCCAGGCACCAGUUACACACAGAUUACACUAAUAAAGGUCUUGAUAAUUAGUUGAUUAAUUGAAUCAGACGUGUUAGAGUUGGGCUAAAACUAAAUCCUUUACACCCUGUUAUUUUCCAGUACAAACAUUGUUGAUCCAAUCAAUAAAGUUGAUGUGAAAUCUGACCUGUGAACCGUCCAUGUGGAACGCUACAGCAAUGUUGUCCCAAACGUAGAACUGGUGUUUCUGUGGAUCAGGGAUCAGGUGGGCUACAUCCUGGUUCUGGUAGGGCUUUGGCACCAAUUUCAAGCUGUGGAAAGGAAGUAAAAGUCUGAGUCAAUUGUAAUUAAUGCAUCCCAUGCUAUAAUUGAGUGAUUUUUUUAUCUAUUAUUGCUAUAUUACAUC